UCCUCAUUUGUUUCUCUAAGCCGUCAUCUACCAAAACCCUAGCAUCGCUUCGUUUCCUCUUCAAGAAUCUCCCUACCCAGCUGCAUUUCUUUUUUUCUUUUUAUCAAAAAACUGAGAACAAUCGUAUAGCCAUCGUAUUUGGUGUUCUGCUUUUGUUUUCAUGGAAUUUUCUUUUGAAGGUAUUUUUAUGGUUCGUUAUUCAAAGGGGUAUGGAAGAUGAUCUAUUAUCUCGCAGUCAAUCAAGCUGAAUACCAGAUAAACUCAAUCGAUGGCGUUAACUUUCUACAGAAUUCAUAUCCAGAAAGUGGCUUUUGUGAUCAUUUGAGGUUUAUGUUCGCGUACGUGGUUGUGUCUCCAUCUCUGGACACUCUUGAUUUCCAAGCUGGUGUUACAAAGGGCUUUUGUAAAGUGUAGAGGACUUGGUGGGUUUGUUGCUUGCAAUAGUCUUUCACAAAGGAACGAUGAUCCAACCAAAGCAUCACACGUCCUUGGGAUGUGAUACAAUUUUAUGGGGACCAAGUUUAGAGUUUAUGAUGCACAACCUGUUAAUGCUGCAAUUUUAGCAACGAAAUGUCAUUCCUCGAGGAUGGGGAGCGUCAAACGUGUAUCACCUAAGUCCCUGCUGGGAAUUAUCCAAUUUCCAACAUUUCAUAUGAAGUAAAUAACCCGGGAACCAGGGUGCAAAGUGUGCGAGCUGGGGGCGAGUUGGGUAAUGGGUCAAAACUGGUCGGGUCAGGUUUGGUUGACCCAUAACUUUUAUAUAUAACAUGUAGUUUCUACUUUAAUUACAAAAUCGUGUUUUUUCAUGAUAUUUGCUUUAAGCCAGGUUAUUUAUUUUGAUAAUUAUCUGAACAUGGCAAUGAUAGCAUAUCUUGAAGCCUAUGAAGGUCUUUGCCGGAACUAUCCUUACAUUGCUGAAUAAGAAGAGGGAGUAAGGCACCUAAUGAAAAUCCUUGCAGCCACUAGAAAGUAUUGACCCGUCUUAUUAUUUUCGGAUUUAUAUGCCUUUGUCAUAAAGAGACGACCAGCGGACAAGAUAAGCUUCACUUCAUCAUUCAGAGUUUAUUGGAACUAGCAACUCCACAAAAACACUGCUGCAAAGUCAAAACUAUAAUGUAAGCUGGUACGCGCAAACUGAUCAGACUUACUGUUUGUAUUGCAGUUCAAAUGGGUUUGGGACAUGUGAUGGUGGGCGACAACUCGAUUUAAAGUCGCAAGAGGGAAGAGGCAAUCUACGGAGGGCUUCUUUUAAUAAAAGAAGCGUUCCAGUACUAACGUAAAUAACGUUCGAGGGGCCGAAAAAGUUUUGGUGACGGUUUGUGAUACUUAUUUUGUGAGUACAGAAGUUAAAGCUGGUAAAAUUCCAUUGAUUAUUAGUGAGAGGAUUAAAAAGCAUAGAGUGUUGAUGAAUGAUGACAAACGACAGCUACUUAAGGCUACUUCAAAGAAGGUGAUAACAAGGGAAGAGUGGGAGAAAAAGCGUAGUGAUGUUAAAAUUAAAAAAGAAGACAUGAACAAGUUGGUUAUGAAUUUUCUUUUCACUGAAGGAUAUGUUGAUGCAGCAGAAAAGUUCUGAAUGGAAUCUGGCACCGAGCCAGAUAUAGACCUUGCAACCAUUACAGAUCGUAUGGCUGUUAUGAAAGAUGUACAGUCGGGGAACGUUGAAGACGCAAUUGAAAAAGUUAGUGAUUUGAACCCUGAGGAUUUUAACACGAAAAAUAAUUGAUAUACAAUGAUUGCAAAGAAAUUCCAAAAAAAAACCCGACACUGAAAACAUAUGUGGGAUGUGAAGAAAUUUAAGGUGGGAUCAAAGGGGCUAGCGGUAUCCGCCAUUGGAUUUGGAUGUACGGGCAUGCCCGGAGGAUACGGCCUUGCAAAACCUGAACAAGACGUGAUUCCAACUCAUCCAUUUCGCCAUUAACUCCGACGUCACUCAACUCGAUACUUCUGACGUGAACGGGUAGCGUUAGGCAACCCAAAAUCUAUCAUUAUCAUGUUCGGGCACUGUCAAGAAUGUCCAGAGUUGCUGCCCCUUGUGUGAUAUUUGACUGAUUUUGUGUGUGUGAAUGCAUGACUGGUACAGGCAUUGAACGGGGUGACAAGAGAGAUGUUCAACUGGCUACAAAAUUUGGGAUAAAAUAUGGGGAGAGUAUGGGUGAGGUGGAAAUUCAUGGUGAACUAUAGUACGUUAGGGCUUUUGUGAAGCUAACUUGAAGCGGCUUGAUGUUGAUUACAUUGAUAUUUACUAUGUUCAUCACAUUGAUACGAAAGUCCCUGUCAAACUCACAUUCGUCUAUUAUUUCAUUCAUUUUAAUUGAAAUCAUAGUUGUAAUGCAUUUGAAUUUGUAAUAAUCAGGUAAAGGUUGAAUGAUUUAAUAAUUGAAGUAUUUUGAUUAUACUGGGUCAAAAUUAUCAGCAUUGAUCAACUAAUAGUGUAAUUCUAAUUGAAGAGUACAGGAAAACGGCGUGGUUGAAGAUCUGGUAAAAGGUUUCUUUUGUUUGUGUAAAUUGAUAUGGAAUGACGCUUUUGCCACUCAUAAAAUUUGGCAUGUGACAUUGAGUUAACAAGGCUCUUAUUGAUAUGGAGUAAAAUUGCAUUGAAUGAAAACCUUUGUGUAUUUUUUGCAAUAGGUUUCAUAUUUGUAAAAAGCAACAAUUUGGUAUAAACCACAAGGACUAAAACCGCAAUUUACUCAUUUUUUCCCUAGAUUACAAGAAUCAAAUGAUAGGUGUUGGGAAUCGAAAAUACAACAAUCCAACAUGGAGCCAUCUGCUAUUACUAAGACCUUUCUCAUGCCUUGCGUCUUCCUACAAUGGCAUGAUAACAUGGAUGAGCUGGAAAUAAAGAAAAUGGAAAAGGCAUAAGAAGCCUACAUGGAUGAGCUGGAAAUAAAGAAAAUGAAAGAGGCACAAGAAGCCUACAAGGCUGCAAUUGCAACUACAAAAGAGAAGCAAGAUGACGAGUUGAUCCCAAUAGCUACCAAUCCCGGCUUGCAUCUGCAAUAUUUUGUUUUAAAAAGUUGGUUGGUCUGAAUUUCAAUAGCACAUCAAAUCAUUUUUAUCGCCAAUGUUGGGCUAGCCCACUUGGUAGCCACUUUCUGAUAUAGAGUAUGGAAUCUUAAAAUAUGUUAAUAUUUUAAUUAUUUAGUUUUUAGGCAAGUAUAAUGUUUGAUAGUUGUUAUAUUAAAGUUAUGUUGA